CCUACGGGAGGCAGCAGUGGGGGAUAUUGCACAAUGGGGGAAACCCUGAUGCAGCGACGCCGCGUGUGGGAAGACGGUCCUCUGGAUUGUAAACCACUGUCCCCAGGGACGAAGAUGACGGUACCUGGGGAGGAAGCUCCGGCUAACUACGUGCCAGCAGCCGCGGUAAUACGUAGGGGUCGAGCGUUGUCCGGAAUUACUGGGUGUAAAGGGAGCGUAGGCGGGACUGCAAGUUGGGUGUCAAAUCUACCGGCUCAACCGGUAGCCGCACUUAAAACUGCAGUUCUUGAGUGAAGUAGAGGCAGGCGGAAUUCCUAGUGUAGCGGUGAAAUGCGUAGAUAUCAGGAGGAACACCGGCGGCGAAGGCGGCCUGCUGGACUGAAACUGACGUUGAGGCUCGAAAGCGUGGGGAGCAAACAGGAUUAGAUACCCGUGUAGUC
rnacentral:rRNA from 1 species